GGAAAGGGAAUAGGGUGGUGGAGACUCGAGGAGGGGUGGGCGAGGGGAGAUUGGUAAGCUGCAUGUAUCAAGCUGCCAAGUGUAAAAGGGUGAUAAAUGUCAUGAUGUAGUCUUUCUUCUUGAGGUUUAGGAAAAAACAGUGCAGGGGAAGAAAGCAUCUUGCUGAUCAACACUGAUGAGAAGGAGAGUGAAACUCAUGAUAAAUCUAAAGAACAGAUGUCCCACACCAAUUUCUUAGGCAUUAUUCAGUCACCUACAGAACAGCAGGGACUGACAGCAGAUUACCUUGGUAAUGUGGUCUCCAUUUAAUGGCUUUUGAUACCUGUUACUUGUUAAUGUCACAGUCUGGCAUUACAUUAAAUGUAGUGGUUCCAUUUAAGUUGGUAUGCAUCAGCAUCAUCAUUUCCUUUGUCUUUAUGAGUUCUGGCCACUGCUUAGGGGUGUUCCGGCUCAGUCUACAAGAGCCAUUUCAGCUGGAAUUAGUGAGCCAUUAAGAAUGUAAAGCAGCAGGAUUAUAUGUCGGGGUUGGGGGGGGGGGGUAGACAUGAGUCUUUAGUGGCAACAUGCAAAGUAUGGGAUCCAUCCUGGUGACACUAAAACAACUUUUGGCCAGCUGCCUGCUUUGCUAAGAUGGAAGACUCUAUGAUGCCCUAUUUAUUGUUUGCCAAUUCAUGGAUUAAAGUGGGUUGUUUUUUUUGCUCUGUGAGUUUAGCUUAUUCCUUGUUAGUCCUUGAUGAGCAUAGGGCCGCAACAACACCUUGCCAUCCGACUCGAUUUUGGGUAGCCCCCUUCAGUUGGGCCAGUGUGGUUCUGACGUCCUUUGCCUCGCUUUCUACUGUUCUUUUCCAAGUCUGCUUUGG